AUGGCAAAUUUGGUCACCAACUGUGGUUUCAGUCCAUCUCCUGCUGUUAAGGCACACUGCAACUCACCAAGUUAUGGCCACAAUUUCAUCCGAUUACAAAAUUCGAAAUCUUCAACUUCAAGUCUGAACCUCAAAUCAUCUUCCAAGAGGUCAAAUAAGUUAUAUGUUACUUGUGCUAGUACUGCUGUACAAGGACAGACACAAACACCUCUUACUGGUAGUCAGCAAGCAUCUGGGCAAUCAUCCUCUAAACCCAAAAAAGUUAUGGUUAUUGGUGGAGAUGGGUACUGUGGCUGGGCAACUGCACUUCAUCUGUCCAACAAAGGUUAUGAGGUUGCUAUUGUUGAUAAUCUUGUUCGACGCCUUUUUGACCAUCAACUUGGCCUUGAUUCACUUACUCCCAUAGCUUCCAUUCAAAAUCGCAUUCGCCGAUGGAAAUCUCUUACGGGGAAGACAAUUCAGCUCUUCAUUGGUGAUAUAUGUGACUUUGAAUUCCUUUCAGAAGCUUUCAAGUCUUUUGAGCCAGAUUCUGCUGUCCACUUUGGUGAACAAAGAUCAGCACCAUUUUCUAUGAUUGAUCGUUCACGAGCAGUAUAUACACAAAACAACAAUGUUAUUGGAACACUUAACGUAUUGUUUGCCAUGAAGGAGUUUAGUGAAGAGUGUCAUUUGGUUAAACUAGGAACUAUGGGUGAAUACGGAACUCCAAAUAUUGACAUUGAAGAGGGAUUCCUCACUAUUACUCAUAAUGGAAGAACUGAUACCUUACCUUACCCAAAGCAAGCAAGCUCCUUCUAUCAUCUAAGUAAAGUGCACGACUCUCACAACAUAGCAUUUACUUGCAAGGCUUGGGGUAUAAGGGCCACAGAUCUUAACCAAGGCGUCGUCUAUGGAAUCAGAACAGAUGAAACUGCUAUGCAUGAAGAGCUGUCCAAUAGGUUGGACUAUGAUGGAAUCUUUGGAACAGCACUAAAUAGGUUCUGUGUUCAGGCAGCUGUAGGUCACCCGCUUACAGUUUAUGGAAAAGGCGGUCAGACCCGUGGAUACCUGGACAUCAGGGACACUGUGCAAUGCGUGGAGCUAGCAAUCGCAAACCCAGCCAAACCAGGCGAGUUCAGAGUCUUCAACCAGUUCACGGAGCAGUUCUCGGUCAACGAGCUAGCCAAGCUGGUGACCGCCGCGGGAGCGAAGCUGGGGCUGGACGUGCAGACCAAGUCGGUGCCCAACCCGCGCGUGGAGGCGGAGGAGCACUACUACAACGCCAAGCACUCGAAGCUGUCGGAGCUCGGGCUGGUGCCCCACCUGCUGUCGGACUCGCUCCUCGACUCGCUGCUCAACUUCGCCGUCCAGUACAAGGACCGGGUAGACACGGCGCAGAUCAUGCCCAGCGUGUCAUGGAAGAAGAUGGGGGCCAAGCCAAAGACGGUCUCUGUAUAG
rnacentral:rRNA from 1 species